UCACUCCUCAGCAAUGUGUGUGUGACAGUUCUUCAGGAGAUUUGGUCUCCUUUCAUUAUAAAAACCAUUUUAAAGUGGGACAGUCUUUUAAGCUAACCUGAAAGGUACUUGUAAGUACAAGAAUAAAUGAGUUUUACUUUGAUGGUUAACCUUUCUGGGCUAGCUAGAAAGCACCAGGUCUGCCAAUGUUUUGUUUUAUUAGCUUGCUUAGUCCGAAAAGAUUUUAGCUGAAUGUUUGCUUGUCAUUGGAAACUCUAGCUCUAACAAUGGGUUGGGACUAGUGGGACAGGAGAGGCUAGCCUGCUGCGCAUCCUCAGCCAUUUUACAUCUUUUAUCGAUGUAGUUUAACACAAAAAUUGAAGUUUAUGAGCCUAGUUAUUUUCUCUAGCACCAAAUGUUAGUAGCUUGCGGAGACUAUAACUUCUACUUGCUAGCUGUAAAAUCAAAAGAUGAAUAUUUGAACUAUAAUCAGGCCUAUAGUGUGGCUUGUGAAAUGCAUUCCCUUCAUUUAAUUUUGCAUGUCUUUUUGUUCAAUGCAAAAGGCAUGUAAGUACACAUGCGACCAUCAGGAGUCUUAGGAUCUGUUUGGGAUGUGCUUUGGGGGGGGGGGGGUUGAUCCCUAUAUCUGGCAUCAUUUGGAUUCACUCCUCAGCAAUGUGUGUGUGACAGUUCUUCAGGAGAUUUGGUCUCCUUUCAUUAUAAAAACCAUUUUAAAGUGGGACAGUCUUUUAAGCUAACCUGAAAGGUACUUGUAAGUACAAGAAUAAAUGAGUUUUACUUUGAUGGUUAACCUUUCUGGGCUAGCUAGAAAGCACCAGGUCUGCCAAUGUUUUGUUUUAUUAGCUUGCUUAGUCCGAAAAGAUUUUAGCUGAAUGUUUGCUUGUCAUUGGAAACUCUAGCUCUAACAAUGGGUUGGGACUAGUGGGACAGGAGAGGCUAGCCUGCUGCGCAUCCUCAGCCAUUUUACAUCUUUUAUCGAUGUAGUUUAACACAAAAAUUGAAGUUUAUGAGCCUAGUUAUUUUCUCUAGCACCAAAUGUUAGUAGCUUGCGGAGACUAUAACUUCUACUUGCUAGCUGUAAAAUCAAAAGAUGAAUAUUUGAACUAUAAUCAGGCCUAUAGUGUGGCUUGUGAAAUGCAUUCCCUUCAUUUAAUUUUGCAUGUCUUUUUGUUCAAUGCAAAAGGCAUGUAAGUACACAUGCGACCAUCAGGAGUCUUAGGAUCUGUUUGGGAUGUGCUUUGGGAAGGGACUUUGAGUGUCCAAAGUUCAUUUGACCAAAUAUUGAGUAUUUCUUAAAAUUUUUGAAACCCACAUUGAGAGAAUGUUAGCCUUUGAAAGGCUGAAAGCCCAAGAUAGGUCCUAGGCUGCCUUGGGCUUUCAGCAUUUCCAGAAACCCCCACAGAUUAUUGUUCUUCUUUUUUUUCCAGUGGUGUGGUUGCGUGUGGCUGGUUUGCGACGGGCUAGAGAGAGGCCAGCGAGGUUGUGGCUACCCCAGCGACCGUCACCGGCCAGUCGCGCAACCCCGAUAAAUUGUGGCAACCGCUGGCGAGUCACGUUGAGGCAACCUAGCUUUGGGUUGCCGGAGGUCACAUGAUCUCGCUGCAACCAAAUCUGUUGCCGGAGGUCACACGACCUCAGGCUAGGUCGCUGGUCACGACGAGGUUGCGUGACCUCAUUGUGACCAGAUCUAUCGUCGGAGGUUGUGCAACCUCGCUGCGACCAGAUCUGUGUUGCUGGAGGUCACGUGACCUUCGUGAAGAGUUGCUAGAGGUCGCCUGACCCUAGGCAGCCCUCACUGAUUGUCUCUAAGGGCUGCCUGAGGCCAUUAGCCCUUGCCGGCCAACUUUUUUAUUUUUCUUUUGACAAUUUUUCUCUCUUUUUUUUUAAUUACAAAAGUCAUUUGUAAAUAUAAUCUCUCCAAACACUAUUUUACUCAAAGAUACUUCAUAAUAGACUUUCAAAUUACAAUUUAACAAACACAAUUUGCAUUUUGGAAAAUCCCUUUAACUUAAAGUCCUUUGCAUUUUCCCAAAAGCUUUCCCCAAAAAUCCAACCAAACGCACCCUAGACCAACCAUAAUUUGUUACCCUGUUACUAUUACGACUUUAAAAACAUUUUUUUUUUUUUGGUCAAACAACUUUAAAGAUUUUAAUUUCUCUAAUAUGGUAGUACCCUAUUGGAACCUCCUUGGGCAAGCAAAAUUGUAUAUUCCACAAAUAUAU
rnacentral:lncRNA from 1 species